rnacentral:rRNA from 1 species
GUUUACGGCCAUACCACCUUGAAAGCACCAGUUCUCGUCCGAUCACUGAAGUUAAGCAACGUCGGGCUCGGUUAGUACUUGGAUGGGUGACCGCCUGGGAACACCGAGUGCUGUAGACU